UACGAAGGGGGCUAGCGUUGCUCGGAAUCACUGGGCGUAAAGGGUGCGUAGGCGGGUCUUUAAGUCAGGGGUGAAAUCCUGGAGCUCAACUCCAGAACUGCCUUUGAUACUGAGGAUCUUGAGUUCGGGAGAGGUGAGUGGAACUGCGAGUGUAGAGGUGAAAUUCGUAGAUACUCGCAAGAACACCAGUGGCGAAGGCGGCUCACUGGCCCGGAACUGACGCUGAGGUGCGAAAGCGUGGGGAGCAAACAGGG
rnacentral:rRNA from 1 species